CUCUCGGCUUGCCUUCCCGCCUCCCCGCCCCCUCCCGCUUAACGCGCCACCCGGGGGCGGGUGCCGGGGUAGUGCAGGGGGACGCGCGGCUGCAGGUGACCAAGCAGCGCCGCCACUUCCCGCCUGCUCGCCGGCAGGCGCGGCCGCAGCCAUCGCGACUGUGCAAACGGAGCUCGCUCGUCAGUGGGAAGGGGACGUUCCUAAUCCCAGUGUGCUCCCGCUCCCGCCCCCCGGUCCCGCCGCGCUGAGGGAGCCGCGGGUCUCUCUUGCUUUUUCUGUUCGCCUGCCCCGCGAGCGGGGCGGCCCGGGGCCAUGGAGCGCGCGUUCACGCCGCUGGACUGCCUCCUGCCCGCCGGAAACCUGAAGUUUUGCCUUCUGAUUCUGAACCAGCCUUUCAACAAAGGUCAUUUUCAUUGCCUUUGGAGCAAAGUGGUGCCUGGAGAGGGCCUACAAUGUCCCAGUCACUCUGCACUGAGAGCUUGUGCUGAUGGUGGUGCCAAUCGUCUCUAUCACAUCACAGAAGGAAGCCAGGACAGCUUCUUGCCUGAUUACAUCAGUGGUGAUUUUGAUUCCAUUCAGCCUGAAGUCAAGGAGUACUACAAGGUCAAGGGAUGUGAGUUAAUUGACACCAUGGAUCAGGACUUCACAGAUUUCACGAAGUGCCUUCAGAUACUCCAGAAAAAGAUAGAGAAGAAGGGCCUCCAGAUCGACAUGAUUGUGACUUUGGGCGGACUUGGAGGACGCUUUGAUCAAACAAUGGCAUCAGUGGAAACGCUUUUUCGUGCAACAAAUAUCACUCCUGUUCCAGUGAUACUUAUCCAGGAGUGCUCACUGGUUUACCUGCUUCAACCUGGCAAGCACAAGCUGCACGUGGACACGGGACUGGAAGGCCCCUGGUGUGGCCUCAUCCCCAUCGGGAACUCCUGUGAGAGCGUGACCACGACAGGCCUCAGGUGGAACCUCGGCAGGAAGUUAAAUUGCUGUAAAAUGCCACCAUUCAAAAGAGCGCCACUGUCAUUUCACUGCAAAAGGCAAUAACAAUAACAACAGGAGCAAGACCUUUCUCUGACUGUAGUAACAGAGCAUCCACUGACUACUAACUUCACAGGUAGAUAAACAGGAUCCAAAAUCUUUUUGAUGCUGUUUAUAUUGUUAGUAAAAUUGCAAUGCUUUCACUGUUUUAGUGCAUUGGGGAUUUUUUGAUGUUACAUUGUGAAUGGAACAAAAAGACUGCAAAAGCGGUAGGGUUUUAUGUCUUAGGAGAAAUGCAGAGUCAGAUAAAAGAAAAUUAGUAACUCCUUAAAAAUAGUUAGAGGAUGAGGGACUGUUCUGGAAAAGGCUGUAAAUUAGGACAAUGGACAGGUAUCUGUGUGCUAGCAAAGCUUUUUGUAUAAGCACUCUGUAACCUUUUUUGUAACUGAAGUAGUUUACAUGGCACAUUUUGCUGCCCUAGUUCAUUCUGACUGAGGCAAACUGAGCGGCGCUCCCAGGAGUAGCUCUGUUUUCAGUGGCAGAGUAAAAAGCUUCACAGCUGGAUUCCCCUGUCCUGCUGUCUCCUCCAUGCCUCUCUUCUCACAUUCUUUGCUGGAAGAAGACUCCCAGUACAUCAACUGGGAGUAUCUUCACAGCCUCAGUGAUGUAUUUUUUCCCUUGUUAAAGCUCUAAGACCCUGGGUUGGGUGGGGUGACAGAAAUGACACUGCUCCUCGCAAAGCUUCAGGCAUUUUUGACCUAUUCCAAGCCAUUUGCCUGCAGGAGUGCUGCUGUUUACCUUCCAGAGUCACAUCAUUUAUUACAAGGCAAGGCCUGCUGAAAUACUUUUCCUAUAAAGCAGAUGUUCUGAUGGUGGCAGCCUGGCAUCCCACUGCUUUACUGCAAGUCAGCAAAAGCAACAAUGAGGGCAGUGCUUAGCAUUGCAUGAAAUGAUUUUGAACCAAAAAGACUAUUUGGCAUACAUUAAAGGACUGAUGAACCCAGAGCUCAGUUGUGCUAGGCCCCUAAAGCUGUUUUUAUCUUUUUUUCCUGAACAGCAGCUUGAAAACUCAGUCAAACUUUGUGAAGGGACUCGAGAUGGGUAUUUGAUGUCACACGUUCAGUCCAUUUCCACAGAUUUCAAUGAAUGUUUGGAAUUGGUGGGAGGGAGAUUUGGUUCCAGCUCUUCUGUAGCUGGGUAGCAGAGUCCUGGCAUUCAGUUUAGAAAGGCUGCUUUAACGUGAUAAACAGAUACACUCUUCCAGAUCACACUGCUGAGGCAACAUUACUGCUGUAGGACUCCAGUUAUGGAAAGAUUCAUGCAAGUACCAUGUGGACUAGCUCAAACCGCUUCAAGGGCUAAGUUUAGCCCAGCUGGAUGGCCAUCUUCAACAGGACAUAGGGAGUGUAUGUAUGAUACUUCCAUACAGUAGUGUUAGGCAGUAAUGGCCAUGAACGGGUAGAAUAAAAUCACCUCAGAGAGUCUUCUCCAGCACAGUUGUGCACAAAGCAGAUGGCUCUCUGGAACCAUCCUGAAGUGAACUGGAGAUGCUUAUUUAUGUCUAGCUACUUUGCCAUGGCACACUGCAACUAUGGGAACUAAUUUCAUUAUUAAUAUCAAGGUGAGAAGGUUGUCAAGAGAGCAAAAUGCUGCUCUUUCCCUCGAAUCUCCUAUGUUACUUCAGUCCUUCAUUCUGCUAAUGGAAAUGUGACCUGUAGGUAUGAGGAAAUAAGUGCUCUACUUCAGACCAGCUUUGGUGCAGAUAAUCCUCAUGUUUGUGGUGCCAGUAGAUUGGUAAGAACACUAAAGUCACAUCAAAAUCAGAAGCAACCUGCUGCUGCUGAAGUCUAUGAGUUGUAAGGACCAAAUACCUUUGUGGGGAAGAGAGGGGUCUGCAAAGAGCCAGAGAGUUACCAUUUAGAUUACUGGGGAUUCAGAAUAAUCCUGUGGAUUUCAGCAGUGGAUCUGAAGUUUCAUCAGUGGGUGUGAGGGCAGAAUUUGUGCAAGAAAGAGAUCUUUGAGUUUAUACUAAAGACAUUUAACCCUAAAGGCAUUCUGUUCAGUCAACCUGCCCAUAUGGAUAGUGGGAAGUCCUCUCAUUUAGACAAUGGCAGAAGCAAAGCUUCAAGUACGUAAUGAUGUACUUGAAAGAAAGUCAGUGAAAAACUGACCAGAGUACAAAGGCUCAUUUGUCAUAUCUCUUGCAAAUAUACUUUGUUUUCAUAUUUAAAUGCCCAGAAUCAGUCAUAAUAAAUGUAAAUGUCACGCUGCCAAGAGAUUUCCAAAAACAAGGAAGCUGUGAUGCAUGUGGUGAGUUAUUGCCAGUUCCCAACGUUUCUGUAGAACCACAAAAGGGCAAGGACCAGAAGGAGGACAAAUCAAUCAUGUCUGGCUAGAGUCUCUCAGAGUUAAAAAGUGACAUGCGCUUGUCUGUGAUGACUCAGUUAAUGGACAAGUGUACUAUUUAGAUUUUUGGGGGGUUGUUCAAGUAGGUAGGUGUUACUGUUAAGAAUUUACUCCUCCUUUUCAAUUCAUUUACAGACCUUUUAGUUCUAUUUAUUUUUAGCACACACUGGUGUGCAUGAUUGAUCUCUUCUCCCCGGAAACAUGACACUGAGGGAAAUUAUUUCCUCUGUGGUGAUCUAUUCCUGUACCUUAAUGGCAAACAGUUCUGGCUAGUCCCUCUGUUGUGUCUCAAUUCUUCAUUUGCUGCUCCGUUUAUAACCACUUGGCACAUUGUUUGAGGGGGCCUUGCUCUCUCCAGUUUUUGCCUCUGGAUGUUUAUGGAAGAGGUGGAUUUUUCCUUGCUGUUGUAUGAAGUUCUCAAGAGGACUAAAAUCUCAUGACUUUUGCUGUACAGUUCUUAUUGUCACUGACUUUUACAGUAUGCUUCUAAAAAGUUAUGUUUUGAUUGUAAGUUGUUUAUGACAUCCUGAUAUGUAAUUAAUUAGCUGUUAAAAACUGGCUGUAGUAACUGUUCUGGAAAUACUAUUUUUUGAUGUACAUACCAAUGACAGAUCACUAAGCAAAUCUGUUCUUUUCAGGUGAGUUGGAAAAUACACAUAUCUGAUAGAUGAACACAUGUCUUGCUGUAGAAGUAGCUGUGGCUUCUUUUGGGGCAGUAAAUACAUGUGGGGCAGUCAGGGCGACAGCGGGAAGAAAAAGAAGAGAAAGUGGGAAAACUGACAUGUUAGGAGGUUGCAUUUGGGUUUAGAAACAUGUUUUGGAGAGAAGAAAGGGCAGAUAACAUGAAAAUGUGGGAAGAUAUGAAUACAGAGAUUGAGACAAUAAGAACAGAGGUGUUUUAAGUAGACAGUUGACAUCUUCCCUUUUGAAGCACUGAACUGAGGCCAAUAUUUCUGUCUUGUUAUUUCUCUGCUGUUAGCAGUCUCCUUCGUUUUUCACUGCUGUCAAGGCAUAAUAACCUACUUCUACUGUCAGUAAACCGGUCAACUCAAGUGAUGCGGGCCUGUCCACCCAUCUGCCUGGGUCUUGAUCCAACAGUAAAAGAUGGCAUUAGACAUUUGAUUUGAAAACAAGAAGGAAGACUCUUUACUUGCACUCUUGUGGCUACCAAUUCAAGACUCUGAAAUCAGGAAAAACCAGAAACAGAGAAAUAAAAGUAAGUAGUUUUUUUGGGAUGUAAUGAUGCUUACAGAUUCAGGACACCGGCAUCACUCAGUGUGCCAGGUGUAUUCUCUGGGGGUUAAUCAGGAGCCGUAGCUGAAGGUGCAGAUGUGUACAACCUCAGCCCCUCCCACUGCAGAAACUGAGACACUUGGGAGGAAUGAGGUGAAGUACUUCUGAAAUGGGGGAUUUUCUUGUGGUUCAGGCAAUUGAUUGUCCGGAGUUUUUACUCUGUGCAAGUAUUUUAGCUACUUGCAAGUUAGCUGUUGAUUUGUCUUAGUGCUCAAGCUGAGCUCUCAGCACUCUGACAUUCCUCUGAGCUCUGCUGUGGUCCUGUAAAGCAGAAUACUCCAAAAUGAAAGCUGUGGUAUUGUCUUUAAGAUACCCGCUUUUGAUGUUAAUGAUGUUAACAGUUUAACAGGUGCAAUGGUAUUAUCAAUUCUGUUGUAAUGAGCAAUACACAGAAGCCCGUGGGGAUUUAACAUGCAUGCAUUCAAUGCAAUUUAAAUCCAUGCAGUAUAUAAGGCAUAAAGCCCUAUGACGAAUCAGGGCUCAACGUGUGUCAGUUAAGAGAAUACUAUUAAUAUUUACUGAAAGCAUGUGGCCUCCUUGGUUAAUGCCACUGUAUAAUUAAAGGAUGAAAGCUAAAGAACCAGAAAUAAAAUUUCACAGCCAAACUUUAAUUUUGGUAUCCCAUUGCUCUUUAGUCCAUGACUUUGCAGCCCUAGCAUUUCUUAAGAUUCAUCUUCCAUGUGUUUUGUAUCCCAGGGAACGUGGGUCCAUUUACUAUUAACAGGUAGCUGUAUGUACCAUGCUACAUUGUAUCCAUACAAGUCUAGGUCAGUAUGUGGUAGCUGAAGUUCCUGUGUUAUCUACAUUUUGAAGCUUUUCCUUGUAUUUAAAAGGAAAAUAUUUAUAAAAACAAUGAAACGUUUCAAACAAGUCCAAAUAUUUUUAGUAUGUUUUAAGUAGGUGGUGAUACAUGUCACAAAACAAGAGUAAAUUGAACUAAAUAGGGGUGGGAUGGAUGUCAAGAGAUCUUACAAUCCGUAUAGCUUUCCUAUGGCAUCAUUCCUGAAAAACCUGAAAAAAGGUAACUCUAUUAUAAACUUUCGGCAUUGAGGGUUCCUUCAUAACAGCUUUUUCAGAAAGUCUGCUCCAAUUAGAAAUUUUCUUUCCUUUCUGUAUACUGUGGAUACGGUAUGUGAUAAAUAUAUUCUCAUGCUGUUAAGCAUUAGGACAGAGUAUUUAUAAUAUAAUUGCCAAUACAAAAUCUCAGAAUUGUACAUUUAGGUUUCUCAAAUGUAGGGUAUAACUCUGUAGUUUACAGAGGCACCAUCAAUACCACUCUGUGACUGCUGAUUGGCAUGCCACUUAAUGAUGCUGUUUAUAAGACAAUUUUCUAAUCAGCUGUGUGAACACUCAUCAAGAGUUUGCUUCUUGAUGUAAACCAGAGAAGUUGGAGAGAAAGAUAGGGUUUGUUUUGCUUAUAAAAACAAAUGGGGAAAAAAGCAAGUUAUAAGGAGAACUGUCAGGUUUUGUUUGGUUUUUAUUUUAUUUUUUUCCCAUUUUGUAGAGUAUUGAUAUGGUAAAAAAAAAAAAGGCGAAACACAAUUAUAGAGAGCUUUGAUAUGAAUCUGGAUUAUGCAUUUAAAAGCUCAAUGUAGAAUUAAAAGCUGUGGUGUGAAUGAGUCAAUAUUCUUCAGGGUAUUGCCUUCAUAUAUUUUGAAAUUGAAUGAUGAUAGCUUAAAUGUUAACAUUCUAGUUUUUAACAGGUGUUACAUUUCGAAAAAUUGCUUAAUAAUAAUUAUGUGAUUUGAUAUUGUAGAUAGUCUGUUUGGUCUAGUCAUUUGAAACUGGAGCAUGGUCACUUUUCCAUUCAUUUCACAUGUCAGUUUUAGUUUUCAACCCAAUAAAUGUAGCCAAGCCUCUCUCCCACUCAAGCAAUAAUUAAUUAUUCCAUGCCUUCUUCCUAGCUAUUUCUUUUUUUUUCUUCUGUAAUAGGCAGAAUACCUUUAAUUUUAAAAAUGUUAUAUAAAACACACAUAAGCUGAGUCAAGUGUGUCUGGCCUGGAAACAAUUCAUUAUGUGAUUUAAGAGAUUUUAACAAGAUCAGCCUCAGUUGAACUGCACAAUUUAUUAAUAACUUUGGUACACAAACAUAAAGUACGUCUUCCAAAUAUAUCCCCAGGCAAUCAUUGUGAACCCCUUGUAAACAUACCUUGCCACCCUGUGCUCUGUAUAUUGAAUGUAUGUUAAAGAAUUUAUGUUUUAUGAAAACAUUAGAGCUUAAUACCAAACUUGUGGAAUUAAUCGGAGAAUUGCACCUUGGCUUUGAUAUUAGCACGUUAAUUUUGAGGUGCCUCUGUCCCUUCCUUCACUGAACUAGGGUAAUUUAAGCCUUCAAUUCAUCCAAACAGGUAGGCAUCCAUGUGUUUUCAUGCACAUGACUAGUUCUGGGCAAUAUAAAGCGGGUAAAGUUAAACAAUGUGCAGAAGUACUUACCACAAGUCAAACUCUGCAGCAGGAGAUAUAGCCUUUAAAUAUGCCUGAAAUGGCUUUUCUAUAUGUAAAAUAAGGCAGUAGUGGCUUUAAUCUCAGUCUCUGGGGUUAGCUGUCAGUGCUGGUUCCUAUUCAAAUCUCUCUUCUCACUCACUAAUGCUGUAGAGCUCCCUUUUCUAGCUCUGCACAUUUUUAAUGUAUUGCUGGUCGGCUGUAGUAAUUUACAUGAAUUUCUCCUGAUUUUACUGUUGAAUGUCUGGGCAAAGUAUGAAGACGUGGUAAGACAAAUGACUUUGAAAUAUUUCUUGCAUCUGGCUUCUUUACCCGUAGUUCAAUAGAUGUGGUUUCCCACCAGUACAGCUGUCAGGUCCAUGCAUCAAGUAAUUUUUUCAUGUGAGGAUUCUGGAAAAAAAGCGUUUUGGCUACCGACGAGAAUUUUUAAACAGUCAUAACAUUUCCAUUAAUAUAGCCAAAAGCGUUACAAUAUGCUACAUCUGCAUAGUUGUAAGAAAACGAAACGCUCCAGAUAAUUCAAAUCCACUGUGCUUGAUUCACUCUAUCUUUUUUUUUUUUUUAACAGUGCUAAAAAUUUGCCACACUUUUGUGGCUUUGUCUGCCAUAUGUAAAGCAAGAUUUUCAAUCCACGUUAAAACCAUGUAUGCAGCAAAUGCAACACACUCACCUAGGGAACGGGGAAAAUUUUCCACAUCGUGUAGUGGACUGGAUUGUAUUAAAUACUAACAUCAACAUAAAUCUUAGUUAUACGAGAAUAAUGAAGUAUUUUUCCUUUUUAUUUUAAGAUAUGAAGUGUUGCUGUGUUUAGCUUUUAACAUUCCAAAAGCCUGCAAACUGUUUUUUGGCAAAUACAAAUCAAAAAAGCUGGCAAUACUCUGCAAAACAUUUGCAAGGUACAGUAGAAAGGUUGGUUGAUUCUUCAGAGCUUGUGCAUGCCAGUUUUCUCUCUGCUGCUGCCUUUCGUUACCCUGUGUGUUUAUGGUUCGUGUAGUUCUGGAACAGACCCGCACCAUUUAAGACUUGUCCUGAAUUUUUGGGAGCUCUCCUGCUGGUAGUUAGUUUUAGAUCCCAAAUGUCUCAAGCAAACAUUGUCAGUGAAUCUUCAGAUUAGCUUGUGUUCCUUUUAAUGCCUUCACAAUUUCUUUAGUGCCCCUGCUGAAAUAAUAUCUAAGGAAUUUUACUCACUGUUGUGAAAUCCACUUUUUCCAGUUUAUGCCAUUCUCUAACCUCCCAGGGUAAUGAUUCCCUAUAUGUUUGUCAGUCUUGGUUUUGUGCCCUUGUUUCUUGAAUUUCUCUGCUGAUUUUCUGGCCUACCUGCUCUGAUGCUAUUUUCAACAAAUCCUUCAGAAGUUACUAAUAAUGAAGGCAGUUUAAAAACAAACAAAAAAAAAAAAAAAAGAGACAAAAAACCACCAAACCUUAAUUGUCAGCAUGGCACAGCCCAACUUGCUGAUUCAGUGGGUAGCACACCAGGCUGGGGACCCUGCAGUAGGGUUGGAACACAUAAUUAGCUCUCGUUAGCAUAUUCUCUUCUCCUGCUGUUUGUCUUGUUAACUCUUUGAUGCAGGGACUGUUUGCUACACUGGGUCUGUGCAGUGCACCCCAUCUUGCCAUAGGGGUAAACAUGAUUAAUUGCAAUUGGGAAAUGACGUCUGGAGUUACAGUUGAAAGUUAAUACCACGGAAUGAUUCCUGAUUUUAAAUAAAUGUAUAUUCUGUAUGUGUUAGAGGCUGCAUCUGCAUUAUUAUUCUCAGAAACUGUACUGUGGAAAGAGAAGAAAAUCAUUGUUUAGCAUACAGUGCCACCUACAGAACAGGUUGUGCAGCCUCCAUUUCAUACACUCUGGGUUUUUUUGGUUGUUUUUGUUGUUGGUUUGUUUCUUUUUUUUUGUCACAGCACAGUUGGCAUUCAUGGCUAGAAAGAGUAUUAGAAGCUUUUAGCAGGUGCCAGCAGAACUGGAGGAUGAGCAUGAAAGGUCAAGAGCCUGGGGACCUGGUUGAGCCCUUGCUGAAGUGCUGGGCAGUGGUUCCUGCUCUGUCAGCUGCUGCUGCUUGGCAAGUUGGUUCUGUCACCCAGGAUAAUCAACUGGGAGGUGGUUUGUGUGCUCACUCAGUUCAGCCGUGAUCUGCAAUGUCUGUAGGCCAGGCUUCAUCAACAGCACCCAUUAUUAACUUUCUCUUAGAAGCCUAAAUUGUUUGGGUUUUGUUUUGCUUGGUUUGUUUGGUUUGGGUUUUGUUUCUCUGUUUGUUUUAUUACAACUAUUUCUAGAAACACUACAACUAACUUUUCUACCAAGUGCAUGAUUUACUGCAGUGGUCUGACAGACAUACAGAGGUGGAAAAAGAAGGGAAGGGACCAGAGAGGAAAAAGUCCAUCUAGGAUCACGUCGUGAACAUUACGCAUAGUAAAGCACGCUGUCAACUGUCCUCUCUGUUCAGAGUCAAUUUAAAUGCAGGGGAGAAGUGGAGGGUGUCCUCUCAUGUUGUUACCUAAUCAUAUGCUGUACAGAACAUUGUUCAAUAGCAGUUGUGUGUUUGCAUUGUUCACUGGUUGGAAUAACAGUAUGAGCAUUGUGGGGAGGGGGGUUGGAUUUGAUCCCUCAAAUCUUUACAGUGCUUUUCAGACAAACAUUAGUUUUGGUGCAGAAAGAUGAAUAUGGUAAUAUUUUUUUUAAGACAGAAAAGGCAAAAGAACACACAAAUAUCACUUCUUCUGCUCUCAGGAAUCCAUUAUUUAUGUAAUAUAGCAAAUUAAGUUCUGAUAGUCACUGCAGAACAAAUUGUUGUCUGUCCUCUUUUGUCUAGUUUCUGAAUGUUGGAAGUUAUCUGACCUUUAAGCUGUUACUAGCUCAGGACCCACUGUUUGGCAUCUUCAAAUUAGUGGGGUUGAAAAAGAGAAACAGAAAGGAGGGCUGAGAAUGAAUUCUGACAUCCAGGGCAGAUAUGAAGUAAUUUUCUGGCAGGUGAUCUUGCAGAGGAGAAGGAGGAGGGGGAAAAACAGAGAGAGGCCUUUUUUUUUUUUUUUUUUUUAAUAUAGUUAGAUAGGAAGUUCGAUGUAUUUAAAGUAGCAACAGAGAUAGACUGGGAGGCUGAGUGUUUGAGACAGCUGAAGUUGCGUGUUAAAUAGAGUUUAUGACACUAUUCUGCCAUUUCUCACCUGCACUGUCACAGUCAGUACAUGUGAGUGUGUAGGUGUCUGGGGGUGUAUGUAAAUAAUAAUUCCUCUUUAUUUAAUAUACCUUAAACCUGAAAAGGGACAGAAAUAAGAGUUAGUAGAGUGCUACAAAAUGUGAAAGUAAUUAUGUAGUAGUUAUCCUCAACGUUUCCAUCUUUAAAGUGGUUUUGAACUGCUUAAGUACAGCAGUUACUGCAGACUGUGAUUAGAUAAAUGGAUGCAAAUAGUAAUUGUAACUGAUGAAUGAUUGAUGAUGGUUUUAUAUGUUUAUCAUUAUAUACCGUUGUAAACACUUUCUUCCUCAGCAAGGAUGGAGCCUGUAAGCAAAAUGAUGAUGUAUUGAAUAUGAAUUCAAACUGUAAUAUUUAAAAGACUAUAGAGGGCCGAUAUUGUAGGCUGGGAUAACCACAGAGCUGUUACCGGAGUAACUAGUGAACUUUGCCUUUGGUAUCGACAGGCCAAGCACCAAACUCCUUCCAGUUGAUAUUCAGAGCCUGAAUAUAAGUGCAGCUUGGAAAGUGGGUUAGUAGGAGAGAAUUUGAAAGUGCAGAUGGGGAAGCCGACUGCUGUUGAACAAUGGUUUUGGGUGGGGGAGACCCACUGCUUAACAGAAGAAGGGGAGACACCAUUUCUCAUAAUUCUUCUAAGGCUUCUUCACAGCUCCUGCCUUUUUUCUCAACUUCUCAGUGUCCUGUCUUCUUGAGUUAGAGUCAACCUUUGUGAAUUUCUUCUGCCUUGUAGAUCGUUAAGAUCUACAAGACAUUUACAGUGCAGUAUUUGACAGCCAUGGGAGUGAAAGUUGUACACCCCCAUUGUAAGAGCCAUUUGGGACAGAACAAAUAUGUUUGGAUAUUUGGAAAUUGAUGGGAACAAAGAGACAAACAAGAAUGUCCCCAGAAAAGCAGAGUGGGACAAGAGGUUCGUAUAAUCUGAUGCUAUACUUCUAUUUGAUUUGUCACCUGCCAUUUACUAGUUAUUAAUCACAGUAACAGAUUAAAGGGAUUUUUAUUGCAGCAGCUUGAGUUUAAUAUCAGCUCUUUGUGUAUCAUACAAUGCAAAAAGUAACCUGUGGUAAUUAAAUUACAGGCUAAGGCUUCAUUAUACAUAAAUUCUUCUAUUCACCGAGGAAAAAAAAAAAAAAAGCAGGAUAUUACUAAAGAAAAGCCCCAGAUCAUUAGCAACCUCUGCUCCCUGCUCUGUUCCUUUACAUCACGUGAACUGCAGUGCUGAAAUCUGCUAUUUUUCCUAUGGCAUUGUAGAACUGACAAUGAACUUGCCAGGUAUCCUGUCAUUUGCCUGCCCUUGGUCUUGUAUAAAAGAAGUGAAUUAGGUUCUGUUUUGUUGACCUUUCAGUUGCAAGGGAAAUGGUAGUCCUGUUUGCUUACACAUCAAAUGCUGCCAGGCUGUUGUCUGCAUUAACCUUUGUGGAACACCCUGAUGUGAUUGUUACCUUCUCACCAGCAACACAGGUGCCAGAGAGAAUAGGGAAAGGAUAAAUUAAGGGUACCAUGCAAAGCAGCUCAGCUAAAGACAUUUUUCUCCUGCACUGAAGAAAAGAUAUUCUGUAUGUGUUUAACUACUUAGCUGGUCUGCGAGUCCUGUAAUUUGCUUAGUCAAACAGAACUUCAAAACAGAUGGUUUCUAAAUUUGGGGAAAAUAACCAUUUCAGUAUUUUUUCCCCUGUGCAGACUGCAGUUAUGCUUUAGUACUGAAAUUAUUUGAAAAUUAAACCGGAAAGUAAAAUUGGGGUCUUUACCAACUGAAUACUAAUUUCAGGAACAUACAAUUUUUAGUCUGUGUUAGGUUUUCAUCUGCACAUUUAGCCUAAGAUUUGUUUAUACUUUGAUUUAGUGUUUCUUGCUGCUUACUUGCAUAAACACGGCCAAAUCAGUCAGUCAGAGUCACCAGUGUAUUUAGCUCCCAGCUGCAUUUGCUAAUAAAAGGAAGAAUGACAAGUUCCUUCCUUCACAGAGGAGGAAGUGGAGAAGCAUAAGGAAAUAAUUCAUUGCAUGUACAUAGCACCUGCAAUCAGCAAUCUAUGUAGGCACUUUACCAAAAGUAAAGUACGCUGCCUUAUCUGGAAGAUGUUUUUGUUGUGAGAAACUGCUUUGUUCUCAAUCUCUUCGUUGAGGAAACUGAGUCACAGAGUAUUUGUUUGGUCUGAGAUUGUAAGUGAAGCUAAUCGAAAGCUAACCAGGUGCUGAAGUUUGGAACACUCGUCAGUACUUCCAACACCUAUGACAACUCCGGGAUUGUGACCAUUGAGACAGACAAGCCUUUGCUGUGGACAAUGGCUAUCAAAAGAUGAACUACAGCUGCCUUUUCUGAUCUGACUCAGCUUUCACUGAAUUAAGACAGUAAAGCUGUUAGGAAAGACAUAAACAGGCACUGAUUUUAUGUACUGAAUGGAAAACAAGUCUGAAAUAAAAGUCAUUUGAGAUCAAA